AGAGUUUGAUCCUGGCUCAGAUUGAACGCUGGCGGCAUGCCUUACACAUGCAAGUCGAACGGUAACAGGUUAAGCUGACGAGUGGCGAACGGGUGAGUAAUGUAUCGGAACGUGCCCAGUCGUGGGGGAUAACUGCUCGAAAGAGCAGCUAAUACCGCAUACGACCUGAGGGUGAAAGCGGGGGAUCGCAAGACCUCGCGCGAUUGGAGCGGCCGAUAUCAGAUUAGGUAGUUGGUGAGGUAAAGGCUCACCAAGCCGACGAUCUGUAGCUGGUCUGAGAGGACGACCAGCCACACUGGGACUGAGACACGGCCCAGACUCCUACGGGAGGCAGCAGUGGGGAAUUUUGGACAAUGGGCGCAAGCCUGAUCCAGCCAUGCCGCGUGCGGGAAGAAGGCCUUCGGGUUGUAAACCGCUUUUGUCAGGGAAGAAAAGGUUCUGGCUAAUACCUGGGACUCAUGACGGUACCUGAAGAAUAAGCACCGGCUAACUACGCG
rnacentral:rRNA from 1 species